GCAAAGUCGAAGAAGGGGAGUUCCGGGACCCUUUGGUCGCAGAGAGGAAGGCCCGUGGCUGCAAGGCCUUCUGUCCAAAACCCCAGGAUGUCGCCCCGGAGACGCCAGGCUGAACCACCAGUAGGCCUGGACGGGCAGGCCCGUUACAGCCCUGUGAGUUGCCACCCGAUCAAUGUUUUGCUUUGUUGUGGGUGGAAACAAGGUGGUACCGCGGAAAGCAGCUUCCGUCCUUGAU
rnacentral:ncRNA from 1 species